UACGGGGGGAGCAAGCGUUGUUCGGAUUUACUGGGCGUAAAGGGCGCGUAGGCGGUCAGCACAAGUCAGUUGUGAAAUCUCCGGGCUUAACUCGGAAAGGUCAACUGAUACUGUGCGACUAGAGUGCAGAAGGGGCAACUGGAAUUCUCGGUGUAGCGGUGAAAUGCGUAGAUAUCGAGGAGGAACACCUGCGGCGAAGGCGGGUUGCUGGGCUGACACUGACGCUGAGGCGCGAAAGCCAGGGGAGCGAACGGG
rnacentral:rRNA from 1 species